CCUGCGGAUGGAUCAUUUU
rnacentral:misc_RNA from 1 species